GACCGCGUAGCUCAGUUGGAAGAGCAUUGGGCUAGUAUUCCAAAGGUCGUAGGUUCGAAUCCCACCGCGACCG